UACGUAGGUGGCAAGCGUUGUCCGGAUUUACUGGGCGUAAAGGGCGUGCAGGCGGUUUGUUAAGUGCAGGGUGAAAGCUCCCGGCUCAACUGGGAGAGGUCCUUGCAUACUGGCGAACUCGAGGGAGGCAGAGGAAAGUGGAAUUCCCGGUGUAGUGGUGAUAUGCGCAGAUAUCAGGAGGAACACCGGUGGCGAAGGCGGUUCUCUGGGCCUUACCCGACGCUGAGGAGCGAAAGCAUGGGGAGCAAACAGG
rnacentral:rRNA from 1 species